AACGAACGCUGGCGGCAUGCCUAACACAUGCAAGUCGAGCGGGGGAGCAAUCCCUAGCGGCGGACGGGUGAGUAACGCGUGGGAACGUACCCUUUGCUUCGGAAUAGCCCCGGGAAACUGGGAGUAAUACCGGAUGUGCCCUACGGGGGAAAGAAUUUCGGCAAAGGAUCGGCCCGCGUUGGAUUAGGUAGUUGGUGGGGUAAUGGCCUACCAAGCCGACGAUCCAUAGCUGGUUUGAGAGGAUGAUCAGCCACACUGGGACUGAGACACGGCCCAGACUCCUACGGGAGGCAGCAGUGGGGAAUCUUAGACAAUGGGCGCAAGCCUGAUCUAGCCAUGCCGCGUGAGCGAUGAAGGCCUUAGGGUUGUAAAGCUCUUUCGGUGGGGGGAAGAGUAAUGACGGUACCCCAAGAAGAAGCCCCGGCUAACUCCGUGCCAGCAGCCGCGGUAAU
rnacentral:rRNA from 1 species